rnacentral:rRNA from 1 species
AGCGAACGCUGGCGGCAGGCCUAACACAUGCAAGUCGAACGAAGUCUUCGGACUUAGUGGCGGACGGGUGAGUAACACGUGGGAACGUACCUUUUGGUUCGGAACAACUCAGGGAAACUUGAGCUAAUACCGAAUGUGCCCUUGGGGAAAGAUUUAUCGCCAUUAGAGCGGCCCGCGUUAGAUUAGCUAGUUGGUGGGGU